rnacentral:rRNA from 1 species
AACGCGAAGAACCUUACCCAGGCUUGACAUGCAGUAGACGUAUUUAGAGAUAGAUAUUUCCUUCGGGACUGCUGCACAGGUGCUGCAUGGCUGUCGUCAGCUCGUGCCGUGAGGUGUUGGGUUAAGUCCCGCAACGAGCGCAACCCUUAUCACUAGUUGCCAACACGUUAGGGUGGGAACUCUAGUGAGACUGCCUGGGUUAACCAGGAGGAAGGUGAGGAUGACGUCAAGUCCGCAUGGCCCUUAUGUCUGGGGCUACACACGUGCUACAAUGGUCGGUACAGAAGGCAGCGAAGCCGUGAGGUGGAGCAAAUCCCGAAAGCCGAUCUCAGUUCAGAUUGUAGUCUGCAACUCGACUACAUGAAGACGGAAUUGCUAGUAAUGGCGAGUCAGCAACAUCGCCGUGAAUACGUUCCCGGGCCUUGUACACACCGCACGA